GAACUUGAUCCAGAAAUCAUUUUGCACCAAUUACUUCUUCAAUGAUACAACCUCAACUACUAUCAAAUCACAAUAUGGAACUUGAUCCAAGAAAUCAUUUUGCACCAAUUACUUCUUCAAUGGUACAACCUCAACUACCAUCAAAUCACAAUAUGGAACUUGAUCCAAGAAAUCAUUUUGCACCAAUUACUUCUUCAAUGGUACAACCUCAACUACUAUCAAAUCACAACAUGGAAUUUGAUCCAAGAACUCAUUUUGUGCCAAAUACUUCUUCAAUGGUAAGGAUAAACAUGUGCUUUAAAAUUUUUGUUUAGUAUG